CCAACAGGGAUUGCCUCAGUAACGGCGAGUGAAGCGGCAACAGCUCAAAUUUGAAAUCUGACUUCGGUCCGAGUUGUAAUUUGUAGAGGAAGUCUCGGGUGCGAUACUGGUCUAAGUUCCUUGGAACAGGACGUCAUAGAGGGUGAGAAUCCCGUAUGCGACUGGUGGUCAACCCCAUGUGAGGCCCCUUCGACGAGUCGAGUUGUUUGGGAAUGCAGCUCAAAAUGGGUGGUAAAUUUCAUCUAAAGCUAAAUACCGGCCAGAGACCGAUAGCGCACAAGUAGAGUGAUCGAAAGAUGAAAAGCACUUUGGAAAGAGAGUUAAAAAGUACGUGAAAUUGUUGAAAGGGAAGCGCUUGCAACCAGACUUGCUCGCGGGUGAUCCACCGUCCCUCGGGGCGGUCUACUCUCCCGUGAUCAGGCCAACAUCGGUUUCGGUGGCUGGAUACAGGCUCCGGGAAUGUGGCUCCCUCCGGGGAGUGUUAUAGCCCGGGGUGCAAUGCAGCCCGCCGGGACCGAGGACCGCGCUUCGGCUUAGGAUGUUGGCGUAAU
rnacentral:rRNA from 1 species